AGGGUCAACGCCGCCUUGCCUUGUGUAUGGGAAGCUCGGUUGCGCUCGCCUUAGGUGGUGGUGGUGGUGGGGUGAAUGCUCCAUAGGCCGACUCCAUCGUGGGCCUUCUGCUGCGCUACUGUUGCUCUUGAUGCAAGGAACGACAGAAAUAGGCUUGAAAUUCACCACUUCAAAUAUAUACUUAGUUUCACGGUUUCCCAAGAAGGAGGAUAUCGUUGUGUGUAGGAGACGUACAAACAGAUUGAUGCAGUUACCUAAUUAAGACUUCUGGCAGUCUUUGACAGCAUAAAAAAAACUGUCAAGUGUGGUUCACGUAGCCUGGUGAAUGGUUAUUUCAGUUCUUUGAAAUGGAAAACUACACAGAGGAUUCGCACAAAGUCGGGACGGCAGUGUUCUGUCCAGGCUUUGUUAGAGCUACUGCUGCGUGGAUGACUGCCUUGCAAAACUGUGAGGGGAGCUCAACCGUAGAGGCCAGCAAAUCAGAGUGGAAAGAAACCUGAGCAAAUUGAAAUCGUUCUCCAUGGGCAAAGAGAGAUCACCUUAUAUGGGAACAUCUAUGGGCAAGAAGAUGAAUGCGUCUGGCCUAGCUGCUGAGACUCAUCUCUGCAGUUGCCCCAGCGUUGCUUCAGACUGACAGAGCAUCCUCACAGAGGAGUCCCCUUCGCGGAGUGCAAUGUUCAGAGCAAGAGGAGGUGGUUGCAGUGCUGUCCACGAGGCCCAAGGAGACUCUCCCUGGUGAGGCCUUCAGUCGGUGGGACUGUAAAGGAGCAGAAAGAUUGAGCGCUGGUGGUAGUGUUUGGGGUGGUACUACUGAGAGGAGAUGGCACUGUCGACAGAAAGCAACAAGAGCAAUGCUCAGAGAUCAGCUCUGGGGCUCCUGGGUGAAAUGUGGUGCUCUUUCUGUGAACAAACCAAAGGAAGUAACUCUUCAUGCAAUGUGUAGUUAGCUGUGGAGCUCCUUGCUACAGGAUUUUGCAGAUGCUGGAAGUUUACCUGGGAAGACUGGAUAAAUUCAUGGAAGAGUAAUCUAUUGAAGGUAUUGAAUGUGUAAAAAACCUCUCUGGCUCAGGAUGUCCUUGGGCUACUGGGAGAUUGAGUCUGGGAGAUUAUUUGAGGGAAGUAUUAUAUGCUUCCUUUGUCCUCGUAUUCUUCCCUAGGCAUCCAUUUAUGGCCAUUCUUGGAGACAAUAAGUGGCCUGAGCUAAUGGUCCUGUGGUCUGACUGUAGCUGUUUUGAUGUGUACAUGAACACUAAUCCUGCUCCUGCUGNNNNNNNNNNNNNNNGUUGAAUUCACAUUGCGGAUGCAAGCCUUUUAAACAGAUUGUAAAUGAGCGAAGUCUGAUCCCGUGCAAUACAAAAUGCUUGCUGUCUUUCUCUGAGUCAGAGCAAGGGGCUUGAAAGUAUUUACUACCUCAGAAGAGCUGCUCAGCAAACUACAAGCUUUCAAUUAAUGCCUGGGAUGUCUGAAUUGAUUCAAUGAAAGCAAAUUCCCCAGCAGACCCUGAUAAGUUGAACUUGAGAACUUAGCAGGAAGUUGUCUCUUGGGGUUUUCCAGCCCAGAACUUUUUGGCUAUGAAAAGCUGGGGCAGUUGGGGAACAUAAUAGCAGCAUUAAUGUAGCUGACAUUUUGAUUUUUCUUUUUGAAAAAAGUCUGAAUUCAGAAACUUAAAGUACACUUGUGAUAUUCAGUCAAAGGGAAUUCAAAAAAUCUCUCUGUGAAAACUGUCUUUGUUGCAUGUAAAUGUGGGUGGCUGUAAAGAGCUUGUUUUUCUCUCAACAAACUGAGCCUGACUAAUUCUUAGUGGAAUUCUCCUGAUCUUAAUGAAGAUAGAACAGAAGUUAAUUUGUCCCUUUUCCUCCCUUUAUGGGUAAGAAAAGCAUCUGGCAUCCUCUCUCCCAUUUCCUUAUGUUAUUUUUAUAUUUUUGAUUAAUAACACUCUUUGAUCGA
ensembl:lncRNA